rnacentral:rRNA from 1 species
GUACGUAGGCAGCGAGCGUUGUUCGGAGUUACUGGGCGUAAAGGGUGUGUAGGCGGUUGUUUAAGUUUGGUGUGAAAUCUCCCGGCUCAACUGGGAGGGUGCGCCGAAUACUGAAUGACUAGAGUGCGGGAGAGGAAAGUGGAAUUCCUGGUGUAGCGGUGAAAUGCGCAGAUAUCAGGAGGAACACCGGUGGCGAAGGCGACUACCUGGCCUGUUCUUGACGCUGAGGCGCGAAAGCUAGGGGAGCAAACAGG